rnacentral:rRNA from 1 species
UUGAUGGCGACCGGCGCAAGGGUGCGUAACGCGUGAGCAACUUGCCCGUUUCUGGGGAAUAACCGGUGGAAACGCCGACUAAUACCCCAUAGCAUCAACUUAGGGCAUCCUUAGUUGAUUAAAGAAUUUCGGAAACGGAUAGGCUCGCGUGGCAUUAGCUGGAUGGCGGGGUAACGGCCCACCAUGGCUACGAUGUCUAGGGGUUCUGAGAGGAAGGUCCCCCACACUGGAACUGAGACACGGUCCAGACUCCUACGGGAGGCAGCAGUGAGGAAUAUUGGUCAAUGGUCUGACGACUGAACCAGCCAUGCCGCGUGAAGGUCACGGCCCUAUGGGUCUUAAACUUCUUUUGUAAGGGAGCAAUAAGUCUCACGUGUGGGAUGAUGAGAGUACCUUACGAAUAAGCAUCGGCUAACUCCGUGCCAGCAGCCGCGGUAAUACGGGGGAUGCAAGCGUUAUCCGGAUUUAUUGGGUUUAAAGGGUGCGUAGGCGGCGUCUUAAGUCAGCGGUGAAAUUUAGGGGCUCAACCUCUACCGUGCCGUUGAUACUGGGAUGCUGGAAUGCGGAUGCCGUGGGAGGAAUGUGUGGUGUAGCGGUGAAAUGCAUAGAUAUCACACAGAACACCGAUUGCGAAGGCAUCUCACGAAUCCGCUAUUGACGCUGAGGCACGAAAGCGUGGGGAUCAAACAGGAUUAGAUAC